GAUGAACGCUGGCGGCGUGCCUAAUACAUGCAAGUCGAGCGAACGGACGAGAAGCUUGCUUCUCUGAUGUUAGCGGCGGACGGGUGAGUAACACGUGGAUAACCUACCUAUAAGACUGGGAUAACUUCGGGAAACCGGAGCUAAUACCGGAUAAUAUUUUGAACCGCAUGGUUCAAAAGUGAAAGACGGUCUUGCUGUCACUUAUAGAUGGAUCCGCGCUGCAUUAGCUAGUUGGUAAGGUAACGGCUUGCCAAGGCAACGAUGCGUAGCCGACCUGAGAGGGUGAUCGGCCACACUGGAACUGAGACACGGUCCAGACUCCUACGGGAGGCAGCAGUAGGGAAUCUUCCGCAAUGGGCGAAAGCCUGACGGAGCAACGCCGCGUGAGUGAUGAAGGUCUUCGGAUCGUAAAACUCUGUUAUUAGGGAAGAACAGAUGUGGAAGUAACUGUGCACAUCUUGACGGUACCUAAUCAGAAAGCAACGGCUAACUACGUG
rnacentral:rRNA from 1 species